UACGGAGGGUGCGAGCGUUGUCCGGAAUCAUUGGGCGUAAAGGGCGCGUAGGUGGCCCGGUCAGCGUGCGGUGAAAGCUCGGGGCUCAACCCCGAGUCGGCCGUGCGAACUGCUGGGCUGGAGCACUGUAGAGGCAGGCGGAAUUCCGGGUGUAGCGGUGGAAUGCGUAGAGAUCCGGAAGAACACCGGUGGCGAAGGCGGCCUGCUGGGCAGUGGCUGACACUGAGGCGCGACACGUGGGGAGCAAACAGG
rnacentral:rRNA from 1 species